rnacentral:rRNA from 2 species
CCUACGGGGGGCUGCAGUGGGGAAUAUUGCACAAUGGGGGAAACCCUGAUGCAGCAACGCCGCGUGAGCGAUGAAGGUUUUCGAAUCGUAAAGCUCUGUCCUAAGGGAAGAUAAUGACGGUACCUUAGGAGGAAGCCCCGGCUAACUACGUGCCAGCAGCCGCGGUAACACGUAGGGGGCAAGCGUUAUCCGGAAUUAUUGGGCGUAAAGGGUGCGUAGGCGGCCUUAUGGGUCAGAGGUUAAAUACUAUAGCUUAACUAUAGUCCGCCUUUGAAACUAUAAGGCUUGAGUGCAGGAGAGGAGAGUGGAAUUCCUAGUGUAGCGGUGAAAUGCGUAGAUAUUAGGAGGAAUACCAGUGGCGAAGGCGACUCUCUGGACUGCAACUGACGCUAAGGCACGAAAGCGUGGGUAGCGAACAGGAUUAGAUACCCCAGUAGUC